UUAUAGAUUCAGUCCAUCCUACACACACAUAAAGAAAAGUUACUAUGUGUAAAUUCAAUACAUGCAUGUAUGUUACAUAAAAGGUAAAAGAACAGACAACAUUCCCUCUCCCUGAACAAAAUUAGAGUCUCCCAGUGAAGGUUUGGUACAGUGAACAAAAUUAGGGUCUCCCAGUGAAGGGUUGGUACAGUGAACAAAAUUAGAGUCUCCCAGUGAAGGGUUGGUACAGUGAACAAAAUUAGGGUCUCCCAUGAAGGGUUGGUACAGUGAACAAAAUUAGGGUCUCCCAGUGAAGGGUUGGUACAGUGA